GGUUGUGUGGUCUAGUCGUAUGACGCUCGCCUGGUACGCAAGCGAGGCAUCACGGCAUCAAAAGCUUCUGAAUCAGUCGCUUUCACCGUUGUCUCGUGGUGAAUGCGAUUCGCGUUCAUCAUACUGGCUGUAAAUUACAGUAGUGCUUGCCCUGUGAGCGAGAUGAUCAGGUUCGAAUCCUGGCGCAACUA
rnacentral:tRNA from 1 species